rnacentral:rRNA from 1 species
UCGAACGGAACUGCAUUUUCAGAUUUCUUCGGAAUGACGAGUUUGUAGUUUAGUGGCGGACGGGUGAGUAACGCGUGAGUAACCUGCCCUUAAGAGGGGGAUAACGUUCUGAAAAGAACGCUAAUACCGCAUAAUAUGUAUUUGCCGCAUGACAGAUACAUCAAAACUCCGGUGCUUAAGGAUGGACUCGCGUCCGAUUAGUUAGUUGGUGAGGUAACGGCUCACCAAGACUACGAUCGGUAGCCGGACUGAGAGGUUGAACGGCCACAUUGGGACUGAGACACGGCCCAGACUCCUACGGGAGGCAGCAGUGGGGGAUAUUGCGCAAUGGGGGAAACCCUGACGCAGCAACGCCGCGUGAAGGAAGACGGUUUUCGGAUUGUAAACUUCUUUUGUUAAGGACGAUAAUGACGGUACUUAACGAAUAAGCUCCGGCUAACUACGUGCCAGCAGCCGCGGUAAUACGUAGGGAGCAAGCGUUAUCCGGAUUUACUGGGUGUAAAGGGUGCGUAGGCGGCUUUGCAAGUCAGAUGUGAAAAUUAUGGGCUCAACCCAUAACCUGCAUUUGAAACUGCAGAGCUUGAGUGAAGUAGAGGCAGGCGGAAUUCCCUGUGUAGCGGUGAAAUGCGUAGAGAUAGGGAGGGACACCAGUGGCGAAGGCGGCCUGCUGGGCUUUAACUGACGCUGAGGCACGAAAGCGUGGGUAGCAAACAGGAUUAGAUACCCUGGUAGUCCACGCUGUAAACGUUUUUACUAGGUGUGGGGGGUCUGACCCCUUCCGUGCCGCAGUUAACACAAUAAGUAAUCCACCKGGG